rnacentral:ncRNA from 1 species
CAAAGGUUUGGUCCUGACUUUACUAUCAGCUUUAACCCAAAUUACACAUGCAAGCUUCCACAGCCCCGUGAGGAUGCCCUCAAUCCCCUGUCCGGGGACGAGGAGCCGGUAUCAGGCACAGUACUCUAGCCCAAGACGCCUUGCUCAGCCACACCCCCAAGGGAACUCAGCAGUGAUAGACAUUAAGCAAUAAGUGAAAACUUGACUUAGUCAGGGUUAAGAGGGCCGGUAAAACUCGUGCCAGCCACCGCGGUUAUACGAGAGGCCCUAGUUGAUGAACUCGGCGUAAAGAGUGGUUAUGGUGAAUAAGCACUAAAGCCGAAGACCUCCCAGGCCGUCAUACGCACCCGGAGGCUCGAAUCACUAACACGAAAGUAGCUUUACCCCUACCCACCAGAAUCCACGACAGCUGGGACACAAACUGGGAUUAGAUACCCCACUAUGCCCCGCCGUAAACUUAGAUAUAUUAAUACAAUAAAUAUCCGCCUGGGGACUACGAGCGCCAGCUUAAAACCCAAAGGACUUGGCGGUGCUUCAGACCCCCCUAGAGGAGCCUGUUCUAGAACCGAUAACCCCCGUUCAACCUCACCACUCCUUGCCCCUCCCGCCUAUAUACCACCGUCGCCAGCUUACCCUGUGAAGGUAAUACAGUAAGCAGAAUGAGCACUCCUCAGAACGUCAGGUCGAGGUGUAGCGUACGAAGUGGGAAGAAAUGGGCUACAUUAUCUGAAACAGAUUAUUCACGGAAGGCCCUCUGAAACCGGAGGCCCGAAGGUGGAUUUAGCAGUAAAGAGGGAAUAGAGAGCCCUCUUGAAGCCGGCUCUGAAGCGCGCACACACCGCCCGUCACUCUCCCCAAUAACUACUUAAAUACAAGUAAAUAACACAAUAGCUGAUACAAGGGGAGGCAAGUCGUAACAUGGUAAGUGUACCGGAAGGUGCACUUGGAAUAAU